rnacentral:rRNA from 1 species
CCUACGGUGAGCAGCAGUGGGGAAUAUUGCACAAUGGGGGAAACCCUGAUGCAGCGACGCCGCGUGAGUGAAGAAGUAUUUCGGUAUGUAAAGCUCUAUCAGCAGGGGAUAAAUAGCGACCUUUGGGUCGCCAGACGGUACCUGAUUAAGAAGCACCGGCUAACUACGUCCCAGCAGCCGCGGUAAUACGUAGGGGGCAAGCGUUAUCCGGAUUUACUGGGUGUAAAGGGGGCGUAGACGGCAGCGCAAGUCUGAAGUGAAAUGCCGGGGCUUAACCCCGGAACUGCUUUGGAAACUGUGCAGCUAGAGUGCAGGAGAGGUAAGUGGAAUUCCUAGUGUAGCGGUGAAAUGCGUAGAUAUUAGGAGGAACACCAGUGGCGAAGGCGGCUUACUGGACUGUAACUGACGUUGAGGCUCGAAAGCGUGGGGAGCAAACAGGAUUAGAUACCCUUGUAGUC